rnacentral:rRNA from 1 species
UGUUCAACGGCCGCGGUAUCCUAACCGUGCGAAGGUAGCGUAAUCACUUGUUCUUUAAAUGAGGACUAGUAUGAAUGGCAUCACGAGGGUUAAACUGUCUCCUUUUUCUAAUCAGUGAAACUAAUCUCCCCGUGAAGAAGCGGGGAUUAUUUUAUAAGACGAGAAGACCCUAUGGAGCUUAAAACAAAUUUACACUUGCUUUUAUAUAUUCAACUUCCUGAACACUCACAUAAACUAUGGCACGACUGAUAAUUAGUUUUCGAUUGGGAGCUCAUGGAGAAAAAAACAACCUCCACGACGAUAAGGGAGCCUCCCUGAGCCAAAAGCCACAACUUUAAGCACUAAAAAAUUAACGCACCUUGACCCAAUUACUUGAUCAACGAACCAAGUUACCCUAGGGAUAACAGCGCAAUCCACUUCAAGAGCUCCUA